rnacentral:rRNA from 1 species
UACCGUAACUUCGGGAGAAGGUACGCUGUUGUUGGUGAUGGAACUCGCUUCCUGAGCUGACGACAGCCGCAGAAACCAGGCCGCUGCAACUGUUUAUUAAAAACAUAGCACUCUGCAAACACGAAAGUGGACGUAUAGGGUGUGAUGCCUGCCCGGUGCUGGAAGGUUAAUUGAUGGGGUUAGCGUAAGCGAAGCUCUUGAUCGAAGCCCCAGUAAACGGCGGCCGUAACUAUAACGGUCCUAAGGUAGCGAAAUUCCUUGUCGGGUAAGUUCCGACCUGCACGAAUGGCAUAAUGAUGGCGGCGCUGUCUCCAGCAGAGGCUCAGUGAAAUCGAAAUCGCUGUGAAGAUGCAGUGUACCCGCGGCUAGACGGAAAGACCCCGUGAACCUUUACUGCAGCUUGACACUGAACUUUGACCUUACUUGUGUAGGAUAGGUGGGAGGCUUUGAAGCUGGAACGCUAGUUCCAGUGGAGCCGUCCUUGAAAUACCACCCUGGUAAUGUUGAGGUUCUAACUCUGUCCCGUGAUCCGGGACGAGGACCGUGUCUGGUGGGUAGUUUGACUGGGGCGGUCUCCUCCUAAAGAGUAACGGAGGAGUACGAAGGUGCGCUCAGCGUGGUCGGAAAUCACGCGUAGAGUAUAAAGGCAAAAGCGCGCUUAACUGCGAGACCCACAAGUCGAGCAGGUACGAAAGUAGGUCUUAGUGAUCCGGUGGUUCUGUAUGGAAGGGCCAUCGCUCAACGGAUAAAAGGUACUCUGGGGAUAACAGGCUGAUACCGCCCAAGAGUUCAUAUCGACGGCGGUGUUUGGCACCUCGAUGUCGGCUCAUCUCAUCCUGGGGCUGAAGCAGGUCCCAAGGGUAUGGCUGUUCGCCAUUUAAAGAGGUACGCGAGCUGGGUUUAGAACGUCGUGAGACAGUUCGGUCCCUAUCUACCGUGGGCGCUGGAAAUUUGAGAGGAUCUGCUCCUAGUACGAGAGGACCAGAGUGGACGAACCUCUGGUGUACCGGUUGUGACGCCAGUCGCAUCGCCGGGUAGCUAUGUUCGGAAGGGAUAACCGCUGAAAGCAUCUAAGCGGGAAGCCUACCUCAAGAUAAGAUUUCCCUAGGACUUUAUGUCCUCUAAAGAGCCGUUCGAGACUAGGACGUUGAUAGGUUGGAUGUGGAAGCAUAGUGAUAUGUGAAGCUGACCAAUACUAAUUGCUCGUGAGGCUUGACUAU